UCUUAUCCAGAGUGACGUAAGGGAACAGGCCCAUUGACGUCCGGCAACCUGCCAGAAGGUAAGGUGCCAAUUCCUGCGGUGUUUGCCGAAAGAUAAG
rnacentral:ncRNA from 1 species